rnacentral:rRNA from 1 species
GUAUCCUUACCUGAAUACAUAGGGUAAGGAGGCGAACCGGGGGAACUGAAACAUCUAAGUACCCCGAGGAAAAGAAAUCAACCGAGAUUCCGAAAGUAGCGGCGAGCGAAAUUGGACUAGCCCUUAAGCUUUACACGCGUUAGACGAACGGUCUGGAAAGUCCGACGAUACAGGGUGAUAGUCCCGUAGUUGACGACGUGUGUUCAGUGAAAUCGAGUAGGGCGGG